CAGUCGCCGCGGUAACACGUAGGGUGCAAGCGUUAAUCGGAAUUACUGGGCGUAAAGCGUGCGCAGGCGGUUAUAUAAGACAGAUGUGAAAUCCCCGGGCUCAACCUGGGAACUGCAUUUGUGAAUGUAUAGCUAGAGUACGGCAGAGGGGGAUGGAAUUCCGCGUGUAGCAGUGAAAUGCGUAGAUAUGCGGAGGAACACCGAUGGCGAAGGCAAUCCCCUGGGCCUGUACUGACGCUCAUGCACGAAAGCGUGGGGAGCAAACAGGAUUAGAUACCCCAGUAGUCCCUGUCUCUUAUAC
rnacentral:rRNA from 1 species